GACGAACGCUGGCGGCGUGCUUAAAACAUGCAAGUCGAACGGAAAGGCCCUGCUUUUGUGGGGUGCUCGAGUGGCGAACGGGUGAGUAACACGUGAGUAACCUGCCCUUGACUUUGGGAUAACUUCAGGAAACUGGGGCUAAUACCGGAUAGGAGCUCCUGCUGCAUGGUGGGGGUUGGAAAGUUUCGGCGGUUGGGGAUGGACUCGCGGCUUAUCAGCUUGUUGGUGGGGUAGUGGCUUACCAAGGCUUUGACGGGUAGCCGGCCUGAGAGGGUGACCGGCCACAUUGGGACUGAGAUACGGCCCAGACUCCUACGGGAGGCAUCAGUGGGGAAUAUUGCACAAUGGGCGGAAGCCUGAUGCAGCAACGCCGCGUGCGGGAUGACGGCCUUCGGGUUGUAAACCGCUUUCGCCUGUGACGAAGCGUGAGUGACGGUAAUGGGUAAAGAAGCACCGGCUAACUACGUG
rnacentral:rRNA from 1 species